rnacentral:rRNA from 1 species
AAGAUGGAGGAAAAUAGUUCUGUCAGUGAGCACAUACUCAAAAUGUCUGGGUUGCACAACCGCCUGUCCCAGCUGGACAUUAACCUCCCGGACGAGGCGGUCAUUGACAGAAUCCUUCAGUCGCUCCCACCAAGCUACAAGAGCUUUGUGAUGAACUACAAUAUGCAGGGGAUGGUGAAAACUAUUCCUGAAGUAUUUUCAAUGCUGAAGUUAGCAGAGGUAGAAAUCAAGAAGGAGCAUCAAGUGUUGAUGGUCAAUAAAACCACUAAGUUCAAGAAGGGCAAGGGAAAGAAGAACUUUAAGAAGGACGGCAAGGAUGUUGCCGCGCCCGGUAAGCCAGUUGCCGGGAAGAAGUCAAAGAAUGGACCCAAGCCUGAGACUGAGUGCUUUUAUUGCAAAGGGAAGGGUCACUGGAAGCGGAACUGCCCCAAAUACUUAGCAGACAAGAAGGCCGGCAACACUAAAGGUAUAUUUGAUAUACAUGUAAUUGAUGUGUACCUUACCAGUACUCGUAGUAACUCCUGGGUAUUUGAUACCGGUGCCGUUGCUCAUAUAUGUAACUCACAGCAGGAGCUGCGGAAUAAAUGGAGACUGGCGAAGGACAAGGUGACGAUGCGCGUCGAGAAUGGUUCCAAGGUCGAUGUGAUCGCCGUCGGCACGCUGCCUCUACAUUUACCUACGGGAUUAGUUUUAAACCUCAAUAAUUGUUAUUUAGUGCCAAGUUUGAGCAUGAACAUUGUAUCAGGAUCUCGUUUAAUACGAGAUGGCUACUCAUUUAAAUCUGAGAAUAAUGGUUGUUCUAUUUAUAUGAGAGAAAUGUUUUAU